UCUUUUAACACUCUUUCAACGCUUUCUCCUCUGUUCUGCAGCGACAACGGCUCUCUUCUUCUUCGUCUCUCUCCCUACAACUCGUACCACUCCAUCACGAUUUGAAUCCAAGCACCACUCCAUCAAGGCCGAAGUUUGUUGCGACGAGCGAGCGAAUCCGAGAUCUGGCUCUUCUACCCUCUUGACGAGCGAGUGAAUCCGAGAUCCGAGCGAGGAUCAAGAUGCACGAGCUGAGGCAGAAGUCGAAGACCAACCUUCUGACCUAGCUGAAGGAACUCAAGGCCGAGCUCGCCCUCCUCCGCAUCGCCAAGGUCACCGAUGGCGCCCCGAACAAGCUCUCCAAGAUGUACGUCAGUGUUCUUACUUGAUUUUCGCGAUUUCGAUGGUCUACAUUGGAGUUUUUUUAUGUUUUUGGUAGAUGGUAAUGUUGGGUUUGGGAUGACCAUGAACUUUGGUUAUGGUGGUUAAAUUGGGUUUUCAGCACAUAUUGGAUUUCUUGUUUGUGGAAGUUAGUCAGAGCAUGCUGUAUUUGUUGCUGUUUAUAUGAUGAAUGAUCAAUGUUUUGGUGAUGGGUACUUUCUGGUAAUGGGUGGCCGGAAGCAUGGGAUGGUUAUAUUAUGUAAGGCAUUGGAAAUUCGGAAAAGCUCGAUGGGUAUAAUUCCCUACCGGGCAGUUAUGUUUGGCAGUGAGGUGUUUUUAAUGUCAGGCUUGUAGAGUUAAAAAAUUGCUUCUUGCCGAUGAACUCGACCCCUCUGUUUUGCUGAGCAUUAUCAAGUCAAUGUCGAAAUCACAUUGGUGGUUUUGGGA